rnacentral:rRNA from 1 species
UGGGGAAUUUUGGACAAUGGGCGAAAGCCUGAUCCAGCAAUGCCGCGUGUGUGAAGAAGGCCUUCGGGUUGUAAAGCACUUUUGUCCGGAAAGAAAUCCUUGGCUCUAAUACAGUCGGGGGAUGACGGUACCGGAAGAAUAAGCACCGGCUAACUACGUGCCAGCAGCCGCGGUAAUACGUAGGGUGCAAGCGUUAAUCGGAAUUACUGGGCGUAAAGCGUGCGCAGGCGGUUUGCUAAGACCGAUGUGAAAUCCCCGGGCUCAACCUGGGAACUGCAUUGGUGACUGGCAGGCUAGAGUAUGGCAGAGGGGGGUUAGAAUUCCACGUGUAGCAGUGAAAUGCGUAGAGAUGUGGAGGAAUACCGAUGGCGAAGGCAGCCCCCUGGGCCAAUACUGACGCUCAUGCACGAAAGCGUGGGGAGCAAACAGGAUUCAGAUACCCUGGUAGUCCACGCCCUAAACGAUGUCAACUAGUUGUUGGGGAUUCAUUUCCUUAGUAACGUAGCUAACGCGUGAAGUUGACCGCCUGGGGAGUACGGUCGCAA